ACUGUUCACUUCAUCUCGUUUCCUCUUAGACACAUUUACAUUCAUGAUAUGUGGAGUAGUGUCUAACAUAAAUAAACCAUUAUGCAAUGUUCCUUUCGUGAUGAUCUUAUCAUCUAAUAAUAUCGAACAACCAUUGUUCUCGAAAACAAAUUUAUAUCCACUAACUGUUAAACAUGAAAUGGAGAUAAUGUUUUUGAUAAUAGAAGGAACAAAAUAACAUGCAUCUAAUGCAAUAAAAGCUCCACUAGGCAGAUGUAGGGAGACCUCGCCAACAGCUAAUACAGCAACUUUUGCUCCAUUACCCAUCUUGAGGUCCAUCUCGCCUCUCUCUAGUCUCCUAGGCCUUGCCA
rnacentral:lncRNA from 1 species